UACGGAGGGGGCCAGCGUUGCUCGGAAUUAUUGGGCGUAAAGGGCGCGUAGGCGGCCAGGUAAGUUUGAUGUGAAAUCCCACGGCUUAACCGUGGAAUUGCAUCUUAUACUGCUUGGCUAGAGUCUGGGAGAGGGAAGCGGAAUUCCGGGUGUAGUGGUGAAAUGCGUAGAGAUCCGGAGGAACACCAGAGGCGAAGGCGGCAACCUGGCUCGUAACUGACGCUCUACACGACAGCAUGGGGAGCGGAACGGG
rnacentral:rRNA from 1 species